CACGCAGGCGGAUUGAUAAGUCAGGGGUGAAAUCCCGGGGGCUCAACCUCGGAAUUGCCUUUGAUACUGUCUGUCUUGAGUUCGGGAGAGGUUGGCGGAAUUCCUAGUGUAGAGGUGAAAUUCGUAGAUAUUAGGAAGAACACCAGUGGCGAAGGCGGCCAACUGGCCCGAUACUGACGCUCAUGUGCGAAAGCGUGGGGAGCAAACAGGAUUAGAUACCCUGGUAGUCCACGCCGUAAACUAUGGAUGCUAGCCGUUGGGGAGCUUGCUCUUCAGUGGCGCAGCUAACGUCUUAAGCAUCCCGCCUGGGGAGUACGGUCGCAAGAUUAAA
rnacentral:rRNA from 1 species